rnacentral:rRNA from 1 species
AGAGUUUGAUCCUGGCUCAGGACGAACGCUGGCGGCGUGCUUAAUACAUGCAAGUCGAACGGAAGCAAGGGCUUCGGCCUUUGCUUUAGUGGCGAACGGGUGAGUAACGCGUGAAUAACCUGACUCAAAGAGGGGGAUAACAACCGGAAACAGUUGCUAAUACCGCAUAAGACCACAAUGUCGCAUGACGAAGGGGUCAAAGAUUUAUCGCUUUGAGAGGGGUUCGCGUCCGAUUAGGUAGUUGGUGGGGUAAAGGCCUACCAAGACCAUGAUACGUAGCCGACCUGAGAGGGUGAUCGGCCACACUGGGACUGAGACACGGCCCAGACUCCUACGGGAGGCAGCAGUAGGGAAUCUUCCACAAUGGGUGAAAACCUGAUGGAGCAAUGCCGCGUGAAUGAAGAAGGUCUUCGGAUCGUAAAGUUCUGUUAUUAGAGAAGAACAAGUCAAGGAGUAACUGUCUUGACUUUGACGGUACCUAACCAGAAAGUCACGGCUAACUACGUGCCAGCAGCCGCGGUAAUACGUAGGUGACAAGCGUUGUCCGGAAUUAUUGGGCGUAAAGGGAGCGCAGGCGGUUGGAAUAGUCUGAUGUGAAAGCCCACGGCUUAACCGUGGAAGGUCAUUGGAAACUGUCCAACUUGAAUACAGAAGAGGUAAGUGGAAUUCCAAGUGUAGCGGUGAAAUGCGUAGAUAUUUGGAGGAACACAGUGGCGAAGGCGACUUACUGGUCUGUAAUUGACGCUGAGGCUCGAAAGCGUGGGUACCAAACAAGAAUAAAAUACCCUGGUAAUCCCCCCCCGUAAAACAUGAAUGCUAAGGGGUGGGGGGGGGUCCCCCCCCCUUA